rnacentral:rRNA from 1 species
UACGUAGGGUGCAAGCGUUGUUCGGAAUCAUUGGGCGUAAAGCGCGUGUAGGCAGUUAGCUAAGUCGAUUGUGAAAUCCCUGGGCUCAACCGAGGAAGUGCAGUCGAAACUGGCUAGCUAGAGGAUGGCAGAGGAAGGUGGAAUUCCAAGUGUAGAGGUGAAAUUCGUAGAUAUUUGGAGGAAUACCUGUGGCGAAGGCGGCCUUCUGGACCAUUCCCGACGCUGAGACGCGAAAGCGUGGGGAGCAAACAGG